rnacentral:rRNA from 1 species
AUUUGGCGGACGGGUGAGUAACGCGUGGGAACGUACCUUUUGGUUCGGAACAACCCAGGGAAACUUGGGCUAAUACCGGAUAAGCCCUUACGGGGAAAGAUUUAUCGCCGAAAGAUCGGCCCGCGUCUGAUUAGCUUGUUGGUGAGGUAACGGCUCACCAAGGCGACGAUCAGUAGCUGGUCUGAGAGGAUGAUCAGCCACAUUGGGACUGAGACACGGCCCAAACCCCUACGGGAGGCAGCAGUGGGGAAUAUUGGACAAUGGGCGCAAGCCUGAUCCAGCCAUGCCGCGUGAGUGAUGAAGGCCCUAGGGUUGUAAAGCUCUUUUGUGCGGGAAGAUAAUGACGGUACCGCAAGAAUAAGCCCCGGCUAACUUCGUGCCAGCAGCCGCGGUAAUAAU